GACGAACGCUGGCGGCGUGCUUAACACAUGCAAGUCGAACGGAAAGGCCCUGCUUUUGUUGGGUGCUCGAGUGGCGAACGGGUGAGUAACACGUGAGUAACCUGCCCUUGACUUUGGGAUAACUUCAGGAAACUGGGGCUAAUACCGGAUAUGAUCUCCUGCUGCAUGGUGGGGGUUGGAAAGUUUCGGCGGUUGGGGAUGGACUCGCGGCUUAUCAGCUUGUUGGUGUGGUAGUGGCUGACCAAGGCUUUGACGGGUAGCCGGCCUGGGAGGGUGAACGGCCACAUGAGGACUGAGAUACGGCGCAGACUCCUACGGGAGGCAGCAGUGGAGAAUAUUGCACAAUGGCCGGAAGCCUGAUGCAGCAACGCCGCGUGCGGGAUGACGGCCUUCGGGUUGUAAACAGCUUUCGACUGUGACGAAGAGUGAGUGACGGUAAUGGGUCAAGAAGCACCGGCUAACUACGUG
rnacentral:rRNA from 1 species